GUGGGGAAUAUUGGGCAAUGGGCGAAAGCCUGACCCAGCAACGCCGCGUGAAGGAAGAAGGUUUUCGGAUUGUAAACUUCUGUCCUCAGGGAAGAAGAAAGUGACGGUACCUGAGGAGGAAGCCCCGGCUAACUACGUGCCAGCAGCCGCGGUAAUACGUAGGGGGCGAGCGUUGUCCGGAAUGACUGGGCGUAAAGGGCGCGUAGACGGCUGUCUAAGUCUGGAGUGAAAGUCCUGCUUUCAAGGUGGGAAUUGCUUUGGAGACUGGAUGGCUUGAGUGCGGAAGAGGUAAGUGGAAUUCCCAGUGUAGCGGUGAAAUGCGUAGAGAUUGGGAGGAACACCAGUGGCGAAGGCGACUUACUGGGCCGUAACUGACGUUGAUGCGCGAAAGCGUGGGGAGCGAACAGGAUUAGAAACCCUUGUAGUCC
rnacentral:rRNA from 1 species